rnacentral:lncRNA from 1 species
GCAGCAUAUCAAUGAUUUGAGCAUUUUAAAACUUGUUAUCUUAAUAAAUUCAUUGGGGGCACAAAUAGCAUCAUAUUAUUUUAGGAAGGAAAGGGGGGCUUUUUUUAUUAAUUAUUACUCAAAGCUCUUUAAUAUUUGGAAAAUCAUAUUUUCUAGUAAUCUCUAAUUUAUAUAUUGUAAUAAUAUUUCUAAAAUACUAUAAUUAUGAUAAAUAAGCA